GCUUUUGGUGUUGUGGUUUGCACGUUGGAUUUGUAAUCCGCCGACCCGGGGUCGAUUCCCGGUAACGGCA
rfam:Branchiostoma floridae genomic scaffold BRAFLscaffold_216, whole genome shotgun sequence.